rnacentral:rRNA from 1 species
GAUUAACGCUGGCGGCGUGCAUAACACAUGCAAGUCGAACGAUGAAACUCAUUAGAUUUCUUCGGAAUGAAAAUGAAUGGAUUAGUGGCGAACGGGUGAGUAACGCGUGAGUAACCUGCCUUACACAAGGGGAUAGCCUCUGGAAACGGUGAAUAAUACCCUAUGAAACCAGACAAUCGCAUGAUAAUCUGGUCAAAAUGUUUAGUGGUGUAAGAUGGACUUGCGUCUGAUUAGCUAGUUGGUGAGAUAAAAGCUCACCAAGGCAACGAUCAGUAGCCGGCGUGAGAGAGUGUACGUCCACAUUGGGACUGAGACACGGCCCAGACUCCUACGGGAGGCAGCAGUGAUGAAAUAUGCACAAUGGGGGAAACCCUGAUGCAGCGACGCCGCGUGAUUUAGAAGGCCGUCGGGUUGUAAAAAUCUUUUGUAUAGGAAGAAAAUGACAGUACUAUACGAAUAAGGUCCGGCUAAUUACGUG